CCCUUAGAUGUUCUGGGCAGCACGCGCGCUACAAUGGUCUUCGCAAACGGAUGCAUUCUCGAAGGAGAAUGCCAAUCUUGGAAUAUAUGCCUUGGUCGGGACAGUUGCUUGCAAUUUUUCGACUCGAACCAGGAAUUCCUUGUAAUCGUGAUUCAUCACAUCACGAUGAAUACGUCCCUGCCCUUUGUACACACCGCCCGUCGCUCCUACCGAUCGAAGAGUUAGGUGAAUUGUUUUGAUCGAUAAGAUUUGACUAUGGUCAACUCUCGUUGUGAAAUUCUGUGAAUCUGACUGUUUAGAGGAAGGAAAAGUCGUAACA
rnacentral:rRNA from 1 species